UAUAGGGACUGUGUGACCCAAAAUGCAAAUUAUGUUCAAGGUUUGCAGACAGCUUGAGUCCAUCACAAUGACCAGGUAAAUGGAUUUUAGAGGGGGAACAAUCCAAAUAGGUACGUUGUUAAGUAUGGAUCUUUCACAAUUCAAGGAUGCUGUAUACAUUACUCAUCUCAUUCUUCCCAAAUCUUCACAUGCAUGAGGUUGUGCAUGAUCUAUCUAACCCUACCUUAUUUAUGUCACCUAGUACCACUAGCCCACUGAGGCUUCAUGAUCUAGACACUGUAGCCUUGUUCAGUUCUUCAGAUUCACGUUCCCUGCCUUAGAGUUGCACAUGUGGUUUCCUCUGCUGAGAAUGCUGCACUUCGCCCCAUCCCUCUAGAUUAGCUGUUCUCCUCAGGGGACAUUUGAAAAUGUCUGGAGGCAUUUUUGUUUGCCACAAUUGGGCAAAAGUGCCACUGGUAUCCAGUAAGUAAAAGCCAGGGAUGCUGCUCUUUAAACGUACUGCAGUGCACAGAACUAAUCCCCACAAUAAAGAAUUAUCCAGUCCCAAGUGUCAGUGCCAAGGCUGAGGAACUCUGCUGUAUAUAACUCAUAGUUAUCUGUCUUUCAGGUUUCACUUCUCCUGGGAAGCCUUCCUUGAUUUCCAUGAUUAGAUUAGGAAGUUCAAGUCACCUUACAUUUCUACUUUGUAGCAAUCAUUGCAAUUGAAAUUAAUUAAUUUUUUGUUUAAGUAUGUGUGUAAUCUAGUCAAAAGAAUAGCUGGAGGGACAUACAGAAAGACAUUGUAAUCCCAACAGUUUGGGAGGCCGAGGUGAACAUAGCACAAGGUCAAGAGAUCGAGACCAUCCUGGCCAACAUGCACAACUGACUUAGAUUCCAACAACCACAACAGCACAGAGGAGGAAGCGAGGUGGUGCUCCCUGGAAUGACCCAAACACAACAAUAUCUGAGCUUGCUCUUGAAGGACUAGCAGUUUACCAAGCAAAAUGGAAAACAGAAAUUGAGUCCAGGUCUAGAUAUCAAGAAGCACAAAGAGAUCCAGAAAAGACCAUGGAGAAUUCAAAGACCAGCAACAGGCUUCAAAAGCCUUCUAUGAAUAGGGCAUGUAAGGAUUUGCUGGGGGCAAGGGUGGGUUUGAGAGCUGGAGAUGGAGAUGAAAUUAGUGAACACCAUGCCUCUCUCUUGUACUAAAGAGGCCGCAGGGAAGACAAAGCUCAGUUGUAUUCAACAAAGGCCACUCAGGUAGCACCAUAAAGGAAGAGCUGUAACACGGACACGGGAGUAGUGGAAUCAGUCAAGAGGGAAUUUCAAAGGUCAAAGAUGAAAGGCUGGCUGGGCGCGGUGGCUCACGCUUGUAAUCCCAGCACUUUGGGAGGCCGAGGUGGGCGGAUCACGGGGUCAGGAGAUAGAGACCAUCCUGGCCAACAAGGUGAAACCGCAUCU
rnacentral:lncRNA from 10 species